CAUGCUGACUACAACACUUUCACCCUACAACAAUCACUAAUACACCCCCAUACCAUCACACAUGCUGACUACAACACUUUCACCCUACAACAAUCACUAAUACACCCCUAUACCAUCACACAUGCUGACUACAACACUUUCACCCUACAACAAUCACUAAUACACCCCCAUACCAUCACACAUGCUGACUACAACACUUUCACCCUACAACAGUCUAUUUUCCUCUUUGGUCGAAGUCAGACCACAGAACACUUUUCCACUUUGCAUCAGUCCAUCUUAGACGAUCUCGGGCCCAGCAAUGUGUUUCUGGGUGUUGUUGAUAAAUGGCUUUGGCUUUGCAUAGUAGAGUUUUAACUUGCACUUACAGAUGUAACGACCAACUGUAGUUACUGACAAUGGUUUCCUGAAGUAUUCCUGAGCCCAUGUGGUGAUAUCCUUUACACACUGAUGUCGGUUUUUGAUGGAGUAGCGCCCGAAGGAGGGAAGGUGUGUAAUAUCAUGGCUUACCUGCAGUGAUUUCUCCAGAUUCUCUGAACCUGUUGAUGAUAUUACGGAGCAUAGAUGGUGAAAUCCCUAAAUUCCUUGCAAUAGCUGCUUGAGAAAUGUUGUUCUUCAACAAUUUGCUCUGGCAUUUGUUGACAAAGUGGUGACCCUCGACCCGUCCUUGUUUGUGAAAGACUGAGCAUUUUUGGGGAAGCUGUUUUUAUAGCCAAUCAUGGCACCCACCUGUUCCCAAUUAGCCUGCACACCUGUGGGAUGUUCCAAAUAAGUCUUUGAUGAGCAUUCCUCAACUUUCUCACUCUUUUUUUGCCACUUGUGCCAGCUCUUUUGAAACCUGUUGCAGGCACCAAAUUCCAAAUGAGCUAAAAUCUUCACAAAAUACCAAAAUGUUUGCCAGUUCCAACGUUAAAUAUCUUGUCUUUGCAGUCUAUUCAAUCGAAUAUAAGUUGAAAAGAUUUGUUAUUCUCUUUUUAUUUAGCAUUUACACAAGGUGAAAACUUCACUACUUUUGGGCUUUGUACAUCAUUUACCUUCAGAGAGUGGACUUUGACAAUAUUUUUUUUUCUAAAUGUCCGCCGUUGAGACGUUAUUUGAACGUCCUUGGCUGGCGUUCUGGACUGGUCUGGUCCUCCUUGAUUGUGGUGCAGACUAGCACUGCUCCACACCUCCCGUGGUUACUGUAUUUCCUUGAAUUGCUGCUGGGGCGCUAAUUCAUUUAAAACCUCUUUUCACUCCGGCGUUUACCAAAGGCAUGUGCUAAAUUUAGGCCUACACUUAUAAAUUUGAGUGUGAUGUAAGGAUACCAUCAUGAAAAGCACAUUUAAUUAAAAAAACGUUAUUAUGGUCUUAUCUUUACUUAUAAAUGAAGUCCAUGUGCAGCUCCUUCUAAUCAAAAGCAUCGAUAACUUGUUUAUAGAAGUCUUCCUUAUCUUUCUUCAGUUUUAAAAGUCUCUCUGUCUCUAUGCAGAUCUUCCUUUAUUACCUCCUGCUUCGAUUGAAAGUCCAGUUUAGAAAAGUGUUUUAUUUUAGAUAUGUAAUCCUCCAUGUUAAAAGUGCAAGCGAGAGAAAAAAAUAAACGAUCGCUGCUUGUUGUCACUUCUUCUGCAGCCGAGUAGUCGCAAGAAGGAUCACUAGCGCCCUCUACCUAAAUAUGAGUCAUUUAAUGACUCAUAUUUGACACACGCAGCUAUGGUAAUGUAAUAAAACAUAACUGCUUACUGUUCUUUUUAGCAUAUUCAACCUUAAAUCCUACUGAAUAGCUCUUAAUCUUCUUCCCUGUAUGCGAUUUCAAGUGAUUGAAAUCAGCCUCCUCCAUUUUGAAAUUGAUGACAGGUGAAGUGAGAAAUUAUAUUUUCAAAAAAAAUGACGUGACGAGUUGGGCUUCACGGUGGCAGAGGGGUUAGUGCGUCUGCCUCACAAUACGAAGUUCCUGCAGUCCUGGGUUCAAAUCCAGGCUCGGGAUCUUUCUGUGUGGAGUUUGCAUGUUCUCCCCGUGAAUGCGUGGGUUCCCUCCGGGUACUCCGGCUUCCUCCCACCUCCAAAGACAUGCACCUGGGGAUAGGUUGAUUGGCAACACUAAAUUGGCCCUAGUGUGUGAAUGUGAGUGUGAAUGUUGUCUGUCUAUCUGUGUUGGCCCUGCGAUGAGGUGGCGACUUGUCCAGGGUGUACCCUGCCUUCCGCCCGGUUGUAGCUGAGAUAGGCGCCAGCGCCCCCCGCGACCCCGAAAGGGAAUAAGCGGUAGGAAAUGGAUGGAUGGAUGGACGUGACGAGUUUGACCCGGUGGAAAUCCUGAGCCGGCGGUAAUGCGAAGCACGCGCUAAUUAUUUAGCGAAACGAGUUUGACCUGGCAGUAAUUCUAGGCAAGCGCAUACUAUAUAGCCGGCGGCAAUUCACGGAAAUACGGUAUGUCCAUCCCUCGUAACCUGAAUUUUGGCUCAAAACGUAAAGCCUAAGAAGAGAGAUAAACUUGUAUCCCGAAGUAUGGCCGUGGCGUCCCGGUGACUGAUGUCCUGUUUGAAAGCCAUGCUGAUUGCCAGAUGAGCACGGCCACUCGCACCAAUGUCAACAUGCUACUGUUGUGUCUCUUUCAAAGAGUGUCAUCUCUUGACAGGGUUAAAGCACUUAUGACAUUUCUAAAAAGAAAAGAAAAACAUGUUUUGUACCUCAACCACACUUUCUGUGUUCCUCCCCCUAGCUAUGUUGGCACUUUUGCCAUUUUAGAUUGAAACUUUUAAAGGUAGCUUUUGAUGAGUUAACUCUUAAUAUAGUGGCAGACAUUGAUGUAAUAACUUAAACAUUCUACCUCUUGUCAUAUCAAGUGUUUAAAGCUGUAACAGUUAGGCAACUUACCACUGAAGAAGACUGUUAACGAAGGACAGGACGCGUGUAUUCCUUUUUGAAUGAUAUUUCUACUUAUUUACUACCUCAGCAGUGACAGGCCACUGCUUAUCUAACACGCCCAGGACUACCUUGUAGUUCUAGUGUUGGAGAGUACUCAUGGCAGUACCACUUUAGCCUGGAAGUGUUACACCUCGGGACACAGGUCCGGGUUCCUUUUUUGCCUCAUCCCUCACUUCAAGUGUGAACUAAUAACGCAGUCCUCACCUGAUAAGUCCCAACAGUAUUAUCUGCUCACAGAUGCUCCCUGGUGGUUGUGUGAGCCCCUGGAUAGUCCUUACUCCUUAAAAAAGAGAACUGCACUUUUUUGGGGGGGAGAUUUUUACCUUUCAUUCACUAUCGAUAUGAGACAAGAAGACAAAAAAUUGUUUUGUGUUGCAUCCUAACUUGUGAAAAUCGUCUGGUUCUCGAUGGCUAGUGGUGCAGCUAACGGGAGCAAUCACUUCUACCUCUAAAUCACUUUGAAAUGCAUUCAAAAACCGUCAACAAUACUUUGUUUGCAUCCCGUAACCUGUGUAAGAGCCACGUUGUACAACAUUAAUAUUGUAAGAGAGAACACUAUUUCUAGCAUGCUACGGUAUAAAAUAAGCUGGCUUAGAGAGUCACUCGAUUGUACAGUUUAGUGUUUGGUCUAGCUGACCUGGGACAUGUUUCCCGAUUUAUUUGGGCAAGCACUUCAUUUAUGUCAAAAUAGCACGGCUUCAAAUUCCACAUUUUGCAACUUCAAGUCACUUUCACCUCACUCUCUCGGCUUCCGUCUGCCCCAGCGUCUCACUCUUCCUUUGUGCUGGCUUCUAGAAGCAGCAGUUCAUCCUCUGUAUAUUCGGCUUCAAAAAGAUAAGGUUGUAAAUCCUCAUUUGUCUAAAAACGGUUGUCUUCGUUGUUUGUUACCGAAUCUGCCAUGACUAGAAGACACACGUCUUUGUUUCCAAAAGUAGGAACACAUUUGUAGCCAGAAGUCAGAAGUGCGUUGCUAUGGAAACUGAAAUCGGUGCUCGGAACAAAUCAGAAAUUAAAAUAACCAAAACACAGUGAAUAUCUUUAGUAAGUUAAAGUACCAAAAAUGAUUCUCUGCAUUUGACCCAUCACCCUUGAUCACCCCCUGGGAGGUGAGGGGAGCAGUGAGCAGCAGCGAUGGCCGUGCCCGGGAAUCAUUUUUGGUGAUUUAACCCCCAAUUCCAACCCCUUGAUGCUGAGUGCCAAGAAGGGAGGUAAUGGCUCCCAUUUUUAUAGUCUUUGGUAUGACUCGGCCGGGGUUUGAACUCACAACCUACCCAUCUCAGUGCUCGGAAGAGAUCAGUCUCCGCGAUGAUUAAAAUGACCAAAACACGGUGAAUAUUGUUAUGAAUGUGUCUGUUACUACAUUAUAUAAAUACUUGCAGCGUUUACAUCAGGGGUGUCCAAAGUGUGGCCCGCAGCUAAUGGUUUACCACACAUUCUGCUAAUAUUGCAAAAUUGAUAGUAUUGCAAAAAUAAAAAUUUUUAAAAAGUGUAAUGAGGUGAAAUCUAAUGAGAAAAAGUGGCAAUGUUGACUUAAAACUGCCAUGCAGGCAGUUUUUUUUCCUUUUGUGCUUAUUUUCUUUCUUUUAUUUGCAUUGCUAAAAAAAAAAGACCAAAAAAUCUAUGUUAUAAUGAAUUAUUACUUAAAAAUUAUCACUUUAAAAUGUUUUAUGUGGAAAAAAUAUUGCAUGCGGUUGCCGUGUAAAAACAAAGUUUUGACAAAAGAGCAUAAAACAAACAAAAUAAUAGUUCAAACUUAAAAUCGACAGAUAUAUCGGAAGUUGAUCUUGAAAGUUAAGUGUUAAAAGUAAAAAAAACAACUAAUAAAAACGCAUCACUUUAUGAGUGGGGAACCUUUCGGAUCUCAAAUAUAUUUAGUAGUAUUUUAUUGAACUUUUCACUGUGAUUACUCAAAAAUAUUAAAUAAUUAAAAUCAAUGGUGUCCUGCAUUAUUGAUCUUUGAGGGCUUUAAUUGCUAAAUAAAAGAACUCUCCUGAAGGAAUCAAUAAAGUACUAUCUACUAUCUAAAUACUGCAUAUUUCAGUUUUACUCUAAAAAACAAAGUUUUCUUGACAGAAAAGGCAUAAAACCUUAUUUGUUUUACUUUAUAUCAACCUCAAGUUGAUACAGAGAUUUACUGUAAGUAUUAAAUAAAAAUUAUUAACAUUUUGACUUAUUUUUAACUGAGACCCUCUACACUCCCCAGGAUAAGGAUAAAAAAACAAAAUCAAUAUAUUUUGUUAUGGUUUGAAAAUGAGAACCCCCGCAUGUUCACAUUUUUCCGUGUGUGGCCCUCUGUGGAAAAAGUUUGGACACCCCUGGUGUACAUAAAAGGAUGGAGGGUUUUAAAGACUAAAACGCUGACUCCCAGUACCUGCAUCUUCCAGGCGAUUUAAAAAAAAAAUCAACUUUAAAAUCCAGAAGAAAGAAAAAAAAAGACGUGUGUUCUUGUCUCUCAUAACGAUGGUGAGCGAUAUGCAAAAUCCCCCUCCCCAAAAGUGCAGUUCCCCUUUGACGCUUCAGUCACACGCAGGAUUCUCACAGGAAUGAGGCAAAAAAAUGCAACUUUGGCCUGGUGUACCUGCCAGGAAACGAAGCCGACCGCCUCGUCUGUUACGCGUCUGGAACUGGAUCAGCUUUUUGUGUCGGGAAACUUGCUGACAAUAGAAAGAAUGACAAAGGCGGGACUUGAUCAUUGGACCACGCCUCCAUUUUUAAGCAGACUGUUCAUUUCCAGAUGUCUUUUGAUACUGUACAUUUGUUGAUAGUUAUUCAGCUUCAUGUAAAUGGUGUGUUUUGCUGUCCUGAAUGCUCACACUGGAACGCUGCCUUUUGUCCUGUCGGCCUUCUUUUUCAAGAGGUGCAUGAGAAUGAAGCGACAAGAAGGUACUGGCGGUGUCACGCAGGGACUGGAAGCAAGCCUGUUGCUUCUCACACUGCGGGUUAGAUAGUCCGAGACCUUUCAACAACUUAACCUUUGUUUACUUCUUCACCAACAAGUAGAAGCGCCGUCUUCUCAAUGCUGAAUAUGAUCAAUACCCUGGACUGCUGUGAACCCAGCGCACCCGCGUUUUUCAUGAUCGUGUCCCAGCAUUGAGCAGGAAACCGGGAGAAUUGUCAUUUUUUUUAUCGUCUAAACAAAGUAAAACAAAAAUAAAUAUGUAGAUUGACUCUUAAGUUGUUGUUUUCAUUUGGAACUAAGGAACACAAAGAAUGUCGUCCCGAUUUUCCACUUCUGAUACUAAUGUUGGAACCUUGAGUAACUUUAUUGCCCAAAGUAUGGUGGCCAGCCAUCCAAAUGAGAAUCAGGUGUCCACUCACUUGGCCUGGUGUAUCAAAUCAAGCACUGAAACAUGGAGACUGUUUCUACACAUUUCCAGUGUGGAACUGUCACAGGAUGCCACUUGUGCAACAAAUCCAGUCCUGAAAUAUCCUCGCUCCUAAAUAUUCCAAAGUCAACUUUAUUAUAAGAAAAGUGAAGAGUUUGGGAACAACAGCAACUCAGCUACCAAGUGGUAGGCCACGUAAACUGACAGAGAGGGGUCAGCAGAGGAAAUAUAGUCUGGGGUUGUUAUUCAGGAGUUGGGCUUGGCCUCUUCCAGUGAAAGGAACAUUGAAAGCUCCAGAAUAACUAUGCUCCCAACCUGGUGGGAACAGUUUGGAGGGGGCCCCUUCCUCUUCUGACAUGACUGUGCACCACUGAACAAAGCAAGGUCCAUAAAGACCUGGAUGACAUAGUCUGGUGUGGAUGAACUUGACUGGCCUGCACAGAGUCCUGACGUGAUCCUGAAUUAUAACGGAGACUGAGAGCCAGGCCUUCUCCACCAACCUCAGUGCGUGACCUCACCAAUGUGCAUUUGGAAGAAUGGCGGAAAAUUGUUAUAAACACACUCUGCACCCUUGUGGACAGCCUUCCCAGAAGAGUUGAAGCUGCGAUAGCUGCAAAAGAUCAUAUUGAAGCCUGUGGGUUAAGAAUGGGAUGGGACUUCAACUUCAUAGGUGGCCAAAUACUUUUGGCAAUAUAGUGUAUUAGUCUGAUACAUCAGCACAAAUCAUAGUAACAACUUUUGAUAUUUUCAAGUGAAAUGACCUGGAGAACUGUGAUGGAUGAAAAGAAAACAGCAACCUUAUGAGGUGGACUGAUUAUUCAUCAGAAGAAUUCCUGAAGUUCAGCACGAUGCAGGAAGGAGAAAGAAAACAUUUUGUGUCUCCCCGUCUGCCACGACUGUAAAUAUCAUCUGUCUAUGAAAUUGUUGGUUCGUUUUCUUCAACUUUCCCAGGCGUUCAUGUCGAGCCCGGUUGUCGUCAGCCAAUGGCGUGCGAGCACCGCUGAGCGGCAGCCAAUGGCGUGCGAG